UACAGGGGGGGGCAAGCGUUGUUCGGAUUUACUGGGCGUAAAGGGCUCGUAGGCGGCCAACUAAGUCAUACGUGAAAUCCCUCAGCUUAACUGGGGAACUGCGUGUGAUACUGGAUGGCUUGGAUUUGGGAGAGGGAUGCGGAAUUCCAGGUGUAGCGGUGAAAUGCGUAGAUAUCUGGAGGAACACCGGUGGCGAAGGCGGCAUCCUGGACCAAUAUUGACGCUGAGGAGCGAAAGCCAGGGGAGCAAACGGG
rnacentral:rRNA from 1 species